UACGUAGGGUGCGAGCGUUACUCGGAAUUACUGGGCGUAAAGCGUGCGCAGGCGGUUUUGUAAGUCAGGUGUGAAAUCCCCGGGCUCAACCUGGGAAUGGCAUUUGGGACUGCAAGGCUGGAGUGUGGCAGAGGAGACUGGAAUUCCUGGUGUAGCAGUGAAAUGCGUAGAUAUCAGGAGGAAUACCGAUGGCGAAGGCAGGUCUCUGGGCUGACACUGACGCUCAUGCACGAAAGCGUGGGGAGCAAACAGG
rnacentral:rRNA from 1 species